CCGUGGCUAUUUCUGUUGAAG
rnacentral:sRNA from 1 species